CGUAGGGUGCGAGCGUUAAUCGGAAUUACUGGGCGUAAAGCGUGCGCAGGCGGUUUAGUAAGACAGGCGUGAAAUCCCCGGGCUCAACCUGGGAACUGCGCUUGUGACUGCUAAGCUAGAGUACGGCAGAGGGGGUGGAAUUCCACGUGUAGCAGUGAAAUGCGUAGAGAUGUGGAGGAACACCAAUGGCGAAGGCAGCCCCCUGGGUCGAUACUGACGCUCAUGCACGAAAGCGUGGGUAGCAAACAGGAUUAGAUACCCUGGUAGUCCACGCCCUAAACGAUGUCAACUAGGUGUUGGGAGGGUAAAACCUUUUAGUACCGGAGCUAACGCGUGAAGUUGACCGCCUGGGGAGUACGGCCGCAAGGUAA
rnacentral:rRNA from 1 species